rnacentral:rRNA from 1 species
AGCGAACGCUGACGGUGUGCUUUAGACAUGCAAGUCGAACGAGAAAGCCCUUCGGGGUGAGUAGAGUGGCGAACGGGUGAGUAACACGUGGGUAACCUGCCCCUCGCAGAGGGAUAACCGGGGGAAACCCCGGCUAAUACCUCGUACGCUUGCCGGGUCGCAUGGCUCGGCAAGGAAAGGUAGCUUCGGCCAUCCGGCGAGGGAUGGGCCCGCGGUCCAUUAGCUAGUUGGUGGGGUAACGGCCCACCAAGGCGACGAUGGAUAGCUGGUCUGAGAGGAUGAUCAGCCACACUGGGACUGAGACACGGCCCAGACUCCUACGGGAGGCAGCAGUCGGGAAUCUUGCGCAAUGGGCGAAAGCCUGACGCAGCAACACCGUGUGGGCGACGAAGGCCUUCGGGUCGUGAAGCCCUGUUGUUGGGGACGAAGGACGAAGGGUUAAUAGCCCCUAGUCUGACGGUACCCUUCGAGGAAGCCCCGGCUAACUACGUGCCAGCAGCCGCCGUAAAAC